rnacentral:rRNA from 1 species
UACGUAGGGCGCAAGCGUUGUCCGGAAUUAUUGGGCGUAAAGAGCUCGUAGGCGGCUUGUCACGUCGGGUGUGAAAGCCCGGGGCUUAACCCCGGGGCUGCAUUCGAUGCGGGCUGGCUAGAGUGUGGUAGGGGAGAUCGGAAUUCCUGGUGUAGCGGUGAAAUGCGCAGAUAUCAGGAGGAACACCGGUGGCGAAGGCGGAUCUCUGGGCCAUUACUGACGCUGAGGAGCGAAAGCGUGGGGAGCGAACGGG